rnacentral:rRNA from 1 species
UAAGGAAUAUUGGUCAAUGGACGCAAGUCUGAACCAGCCAUGCCGCGUGGAGGAUGAAGGUCCUCUGGAUUGUAAACUUCUUUUAUCUGGGACGAAACACUUCUUUUCUAAGAGGCCUGACGGUACCAGAUGAAUAAGCACCGGCUAACUCCGUGCCAGCAGCCGCGGUAAUACGGAGGGUGCAAGCGUUAUCCGGAUUCACUGGGUUUAAAGGGUGCGUAGGUGGGUAUGUAAGUCAGUGGUGAAAUCCCCGAGCUUAACUUGGGAACUGCCAUUGAUACUAUAUAUCUUGACUACCGUAGAGGUAAGCGGAAUAUGUCAUGUAGCGGUGAAAUGCUUAGAUAUAACAUGGAACACCAAUUGCGAAGGCAGCUUACUAUGCGGUGAUUGACACUGAGGCACGAAAGCGUGGGUAGCAAACA